rnacentral:rRNA from 1 species
CUCAGUAACGGCGAGUGAAGCGGUAACAGCUCAAAUUUGAAAUCUGGCCCUUUCAGGGUCCGAGUUGUAAUUUGUAGAAGAUGCUUCGGGUGUGGCUCCGGUCUAAGUUCCUUGGAACAGGACGUCAUAGAGGGUGAGAAUCCCGUAUGUGACUGGCUGCCUCCGCCCAUGUGAAGCUCUUUCGACGAGUCGAGUUGUUUGGGAAUGCAGCUCUAAAUGGGUGGUAAAUUUCAUCUAAAGCUAAAUAUUGGCCAGAGACCGAUAGCGCACAAGUAGAGUGAUCGAAAGAUGAAAAGCACUUUGGAAAGAGAGUUAAACAGUACGUGAAAUUGUUGAAAGGGAAGCGCUUGCAAUCAGACUUGCACGCAGUCGAUCAUCUGGGGUUCUCUCCAGUGCACUCGGCUGUGUUCAGGCCAGCAUCGGUUUGGGUGGUUGGAUAAAGGCCUUGGGAAUGUAGCUUCUUUCGGGGAGUGUUAUAGCCCUCGGUGCAAUGCAGCCUACCCGGACCGAGGACCGCGCUUCGGCUAGGAUGCUGGCGUAAUGGUUGUAAGCGACCCGUCUUGAAACACGGACCAAGGAGUCUAACAUCUAUGCGAGUAUUUGGGUGUCAAACCCAUAUGCGUAAUGAAAGUGAACGGAGGUGAGAACCCUUAAGGGUGCAUCAUCGACCGGUCCUGAUGUCUUCGGAUGGAUCUGAGUAAGAGCAUAGCUGUUGGGACCCGAAAGAUGGUGAACUAUGCCUGAAUAGGGUGAAGCCAGAGGAAACUCUGGUGGAGGCUCGCAGCGGUUCUGACGUGCAAAUCGAUCGUC